AUUGAACGCUGGCGGCAUGCCUUACACAUGCAAGUCGAACGGCAGCACGGGAGCAAUCCUGGUGGCGAGUGGCGAACGGGUGAGUAAUAUAUCGGAACGUGCCCAGUCGUGGGGGAUAACGUAGCGAAAGCUACGCUAAUACCGCAUACGAUCUAUGGAUGAAAGCGGGGGAUCGCAAGACCUCGCGCGAUUGGAGCGGCCGAUAUCAGAUUAGGUAGUUGGUGAGGUAAAGGCUCACCAAGCCGACGAUCUGUAGCUGGUCUGAGAGGACGACCAGCCACACUGGGACUGAGACACGGCCCAGACUCCUACGGGAGGCAGCAGUGGGGGAAUUUUUGGGACAAUGGGCGCAAGCCUGAUCCAGCAAUGCCGCGUGCAGGAUGAAGGCCUUCGGUU
rnacentral:rRNA from 1 species